GAUCAGGAGCAACUCAGCAACUGUUCCAGCACUGUGCCUGCUGGCUUCCUGCUGUGAUGAUCAUGAACUAACCCUCUAAAACUGAUAUUUUGAAAGAGCUUGUAAAGAGAAGGUGACAGCCACCUGAAGAACUAGUGAAAAGUCACCUCUGACUUACAGAAUUGAAGUCAGCACUCAUCUGAUCACAGAUACCACCAGAAACAAAGAACUAAACCAGAACAACAACAAGGAAUCUUGGCCCAUCACAAGCAGUCGUGCUUUUGUAUGCCUCACCAGGCUAAGGGCAGAGCAAGCAGAGCCCUCUGUGCAGUGUUCACAUUUUAGAGGCCUAAAGGGGAGAGGAAGCAACCACAAGGAGGUGCUGUGAUGAGGCCUCACCCUCUCUGUCUCCAUUUUCUUCUCGUGGCAGAAGCAGAGGGUACUGAAGGUUGCCCAGAAGCCCAGCAUUUCAGGACUGGAGCUCUCCUCAG